UUCUGUAAAAAACAUUUCAGAAUCUUACGGUUUAAAAACUUAUGACUAGUAGUGUACGGUUUUAUAUAUAUUGCGAUUUUAUUUUAUUAGGAUUCUGCUUGUGAUUAUCUAAUGGCUAAAUGCUGCUUUAACAUGUUUUGUUGAGUGUGGAAGAAUAUGGCCUGAUAUGGAUCACGUCAGAUUUAAUAUCUGUGGCGAUUGUCAUCGGCAUCUUCAUUUUUCAGAAGUGGAAGAUGGAACGGAACUUGUAGUUUUAAUCCAACGUACCGAUCUGAGAAACCCAUGGCUCGUAAACAUUCAUGAUUUCACCACACUGCGUCAAUGCUGCGGUGGGGACCAGCAUGGUGGAUUUGUGCCUUGGGGACGAGACAACGACAUCCCAGACCUUCGCCUUUGUUAUGGGCUGUGCCACUGAAGCGGACUCGUUGCCUGGGAAUUUCUCCAGCUUGCAUUAUAUUGAUGGACAUAAGUCUUCAUGUGUGAAUUAUUAUUAUUUUAUUUUUUUUUAAGGCCAGCAGUUUUUUUCUGGCCACUUGUAACAUAUUUUAAAUUGUCAUAUGUAUUGUCUGGUGGACACUUUGUUUGGCUUAGUUUUAAUAGCACAAUGUUUGGAACGAUUGUCAUUAAUUUUUGAGUGUUCUGCUGCUGCAAUGUUGACAAAGAAUUGGAAUCUACAGUGCCUAGUUUACCCAGUUUUGUGUUUUAAAUUAACUGAUCUACCAAAAUUGUUGUUUUAUGUGUCUGUAAUAGUUGGAUAAAAUGUGUGAAAGC